rnacentral:rRNA from 1 species
GGCCUAACACAUGCAAGUCGAGCCGCACCCUUCGGGGCGAGCGGCGGACGGGUUAGUAACGCGUGGGAACAUACCCUUUACUACGGAAUAGCCUCGGGAAACUGAGAGUAAUACCGUAUGUGCCCUUCGGGGGAAAGAUUUAUCGGUAAAGGAUUGGCCCGCGUAAGAUUAGAUAGUUGGUGGGGUAAUGGCCUACCAAGUCAACGAUCUUUAGCUGGUUUUAGAGGAUGAUCAGCAACACUGGGACUGAGACACGGCCCAGACUCCUACGGGAGGCAGCAGUGGGGAAUCUUAGACAAUGGGCGCAAGCCUGAUCUAGCCAUGCCGCGUGUGUGAUGAAGGCCUUAGGGUCGUAAAGCACUUUCGCCAGGGAUGAUAAUGACAGUACCUGGUAAAGAAACCCCGGCUAACUCCGUGCCAGCAGCCGCGGUAAUACGGAGGGGGUUAGCGUUGUUCGGAAUUACUGGGCGUAAAGCGUACGUAGGCGGAUCAGAAAGUAAGGGGUGAAAUCCCAGGGCUCAACCCUGGAACUGCCUCUUAAACUCCUGGUCUUGAGUUCGAGAGAGGUGAGUGGAAUUCCGAGUGUAGAGGUGAAAUCGUAGAUAUUCGGAGGAACACCAGUGGCGAAGGCGGCUCACUGGCUCGAUACU